rnacentral:lncRNA from 1 species
UUCGUUGUAUGAAACAGGGGAGGAGACUGGAGAACAGGAGGAACAUGUCACAUUGGAGACAUUGCCUGAUAUUGUGAUCGGCUCAAGCUCCACUGAUGAAUACUGUGAACCGCUCAAGUUACUUCCGUUUUGAGUCAACGCUUGUCCUUGUUGGUCUCACAACACCCCUCUUGAUUCUUCCGCCACUGCCUCAUCCCUCGUUUGUGCUGCUUCUCAUUCCUAUUGGGAUUGUGUGUUGCUUACGGUUCUUGAUAUAAAAACGUCUUCUUCUUCUAAUGCAAAACAUGUAACAAAGAACUUAUAUCUAACGAACCAAAAAU